GCUUGUUCCUCCACUCCCACAGGUGAGCUUGUGGUACAGGAAGUGUGUGUGAGAGAGAAAGAGAUAGAGCGCGAGAAGAAGCGAGAGAGGAGUGUGUGUGUGAGAGAGAGAGAGAGAGAGAAAGAGAGAGCGAGAAGAAGCGAGAGAGGUGUGAGAGAGAGAGAGAGACAGAGAUAGGUGUGAGAGAGAAGAGUGUGUGAGAGGUGUGUGAGACAGACAGAGAGAGAGACAGACAGACAAAGAGAUCUGAGAGAGAGACAGACACAGAGAGAGACAGAGAGAUAUGCGAGAGAGAGACAGACAGACAGAGACAGAGAGACAGACAGACAAAGAGAUCUGAGAGAGAGACAGACACAGAGAGAGACAGAGAUAUGCGAGAGAGAGACAGACAGACAGAGACAGAGAGAGAAAGACAGGUGUGUGUGUGUGUGUGUGUGUGUGUUUCUCCUCAUGAUAUUAACCACUGAAGCAGAGACUGAAAGGCUCCCCCCCCCUAUAAUACACUCAGCAUGUUGCCUCCCAGGCCACCCCCUUUUAAUUUUAAAUACACACCCCCCCCCCCCCCAAUCCAGCUCUCCAGUCUCACCCCCCUACUUCAAACCCUUUCAUACCCCACAGCCCUCAAGUGCACGGUUUCAGAUUUGAAAGCGGCUGCGUUUUAAACAGAUUCAUUUUUGGGCAUCGUUCUGGAACAAGGACCUGACCAAAGGUAGUGCCCCCUGUUCAGACUGCGCUUGUAGAUCUCCUGAUCCGCCCCUCCUACUCUGCACUGGACUCGCCUGACCUCAGCACCACGUUACUGGAUCCUCAACUGAUGUGCUAUCCUUGCACUGCUAACAUGUCACUGUAGAUAUAACUUGCUGUAACCCUAACUUGUUGCAUCCUAGUUCAUAUUGUAUUCUAGUAGUGUUAUUAGUUGCACUGACUGUAAACUACACCUGUAUUUAAAUAUGAAGCUUGCAUUGUAACCCUGUGCUGCCCUGUAACACCUGCGUGAGUCGCCUGGGAUAAAGGCGUCUGCCAAGUAAAUAAUAAUAUUAAUUCCAGACGGUUGGCAUGGUGAUGCGUCAGAGGGGCCACGUUUUGAUUGAUCCCUGAAGCCAGCAUUACACUUCAGCCAAGGCUCGCAUUAUAACACAGCAAAGCUAGUCCUUGGUUGGUCUCCACCAUGCCUCUCUCACAAUAUUAGCAUGCAAAGAACAGUCGCUCUCUUGCAAGGAAAGUCAUCAUGACCUGCUUUUAUAAGCCAGCUCUCACAGAAUCAGUUCAUUCUAAAAGGGGAUGCAAAACAUUUCGCCAGAGCUGUAUUAUCCCAUUUUAUCUGAGUCCAAUAUGAAGUGAGCUACCCUCCUGUUAUAAAAAUCAUACAAGCCAUCUCUCACCCACUAAGGCUGUAGGCAGGCAGACGAAGCCACUGAAACAACUUGACCUGACAGGGAACAAAGCCAGUCAGAACAACAAUGAAUUGAUUCAUCCCAGAUACAGGGAGCCCUGGAGACCGGAAAUGACACUGAGAGUGAUUCAUGAAAUCUGCUUUGCUGUAAUCCUAACUUGCUGUAUCCUCUUAGUUCAUAUUGUAUUUUAGCAGGAGGCUGUGUGGUCCAGCGCUUAAAGGAUCUUGAUACCAGGAGGUUCAAAUCCUGGCUCAGCCACUGACUCCCUGUGUGUGACCCUGAGCAAGUCACUGAACCUCCUUGUGCUCCGUCCUUCGGAUGAGACGCAAAACAAACGAGGUCCUAUUGGAAGUGACUCUGCAGCAGCAGCAGCAGCAGCAGCAGUUGUUGAUGAUGCAUAGUUCACCCCCUAGUCUCUGUAAGUCGCUUUGGAUAAAAGCCUCUGCUAAUUGACUAAAUAAUAAUAAUAAUAAUAAUAAUAUUGCACUUAUUGUAAACUACACUGUAUUUAAAUAUGAAGCUUGCAUUGUAACCCUGUGCUGCCCUGUAACACCUGUGUGAGUCGCCUGGGAUAAAGGCGUCUGCCAAAUAAAUUAAUAAAUAAAUACUAAUAAUAUUAAUAGAGAGUUAAACCUCCCUCAGUAAAAACGCCAUUUGACCCCUAAUAAAAGUUUAUUUUUUGAA